AGAGUUUGAUCCUGGCUCAGGACGAACGCUGGCGGCGUGCNUUAUACAUGCAAGUCGAACGCUUUUUCUUUCACCGGAGCUUGCUCCACCGAAAGAAAAAGAGUGGCGAACGGGUGAGUAACACGUGGGUAACCUGCCCAUCAGAAGGGGAUAACACUUGGAAACAGGUGCUAAUACCGUAUAACACUAUUUUCCGCAUGGAAGAAAGUUGAAAGGCGCUUUUGCGUCACUGAUGGAUGGACCCGCGGUGCAUUAGCUAGUUGGUGAGGUAACGGCUCACCAAGGCAACGAUGCAUAGCCGACCUGAGAGGGUGAUCGGCCACACUGGGACUGAGACACGGCCCAGACUCCUACGGGAGGCAGCAGUAGGGAAUCUUCGGCAAUGGACGAAAGUCUGACCGAGCAACGCCGCGUGAGUGAAGAAGGUUUUCGGAUCGUAAAACUCUGUUGUUAGAGAAGAACAAGGAUGAGAGUAAAAUGUUCAUCCCUUGACGGUAUCUAACCAGAAAGCCACGGCUAACUACGUGCCAGCAGCCGCGGUAAUACGUAGGUGGCAAGCGUUGUCCGGAUUUAUUGGGCGUAAAGCGAGCGCAGGCGGUUUCUUAAGUCUGAUGUGAAAGCCCCCGGCUCAACCGGGGAGGGUCAUUGGAAACUGGGAGACUUGAGUGCAGAAGAGGAGAGUGGAAUUCCAUGUGUAGCGGUGAAAUGCGUAGAUAUAUGGAGGAACACCAGUGGCGAAGGCGGCUCUCUGGUCUGUAACUGACGCUGAGGCUCGAAAGCGUGGGGAGCGAACAGGAUUAGAUACCCUGGUAGUCCCACGCCGUAAACGAUGAGUGCUAAGUGUUGGAGGGUUUCCGCCCUUCAGUGCUGCAGC
rnacentral:rRNA from 1 species